UACGGGGGGGGGCAAGCGUUGUUCGGAAUUACUGGGCGUAAAGGGCGUGUAGGCGGCCAACUAAGUCCGACGUGAAAUCCCCAGGCUUAACCUGGGAACUGCGUCGGAUACUGGAUGGCUUGAAUCCGGGAGAGGGAUGCAGAAUUCCAGGUGUAGCGGUGUAAUGCGUAGAUAUCUGGAGGAAUACCGGUGGCGAAGGCGGCAUCCUGGACCGGCAUUGACGCUGAAGCGCGAAAGCUAGGGGAGCAAACGGG
rnacentral:rRNA from 1 species